AAAACCCGCCCCUUCCUUUCGUUGCUAUGGACUGCAGAGUGUGACUUUGGGCUACCAAGACUGUGCAUGUGUGGUGUGCUGCUUGCUCUCAGUGUAGUGUGCCGCCAGGGCUCUCAUCUGUGUAGCAUGGCAGUUUAACGUAGCCCCGGUCGGCGCGCCAGCUGCUGCUGUCACAACUAUUAAAGAAGCUAUCAUAUGAUUUUCGUAUGUGCCGUCUUGAGAAUUAUGUCAUCGGAUCACGGUCCUUGAUCUUGCAUGCAUUAAUGCAGGCUGAGAGCUGAGUGCUUCCUGAGGCUGGGUGGGGGGUUCUUUGCUGCACCUUUGGUUUUACUUGAUUAAGGGUCAUCGUUAUUGCUGUGUUUAUUUGCAGUGAAUUUUGUGGGUAUGAUUCUGAUUAGUGGGGUGCUUUUCCCUUUUCUAUAGCUAGUGCUGUUGUACUAGCCUGCCCUUCAUACAGGAAGCCUAAGUCUUCCUAUGAUUAUUGUUAAUUUCCUCUUGUGACAGUUUUAUUUAACCAAUGCCUGAUUGCGUUGGCUGCUCCUUUCUUUUAAAAUAAUU